rnacentral:tRNA from 1 species
GCCCUUGUAGCUUAACUUUAAAGCAUUGGUCUUGUAAACCAAAGAAUGUAACCUAAUAAUUACCCAGGGCU